rnacentral:ncRNA from 1 species
UCUCGAUAAGAGCAAACCUCCGCCACUAAUACGUCGGCGGACCCGCCGAAGUGGUGUGGCGGGUGCCGUAAGGCAGGGGCGCAAAGCCACGGGCCUUACCGCCGUGUAACGUUGAACGUUCAACGUUAAACGUUGCACGCGGUUGGUAGCCGGGCUGCCGAA